rnacentral:tRNA from 1 species
AUUUAUAUAGUUUAAAUAAAACAUUACAUUUUCACUGUAAAAAUAUUUUUUAUUAAUUAUAAAUU